UAUACAUGCAAGUCGAACGCGUUGGCCCAAUUGAUUGAUGGUGCUUGCACCUGAUUGAUUUUGGUCGCCAACGAGUGGCGGACGGGUGAGUAACACGUAGGUAACCUGCCCAGAAGCGGGGGACAACAUUUGGAAACAGAUGCUAAUACCGCAUAACAGCGUUGUUCGCAUGAACAACGCUUAAAAGAUGGCUUCUCGCUAUCACUUCUGGAUGGACCUGCGGUGCAUUAGCUUGUUGGUGGGGUAAUGGCCUACCAAGGCGAUGAUGCAUAGCCGAGUUGAGAGACUGAUCGGCCACAAUGGGACUGAGACACGGCCCAUACUCCUACGGGAGGCAGCAGUAGGGAAUCUUCCACAAUGGGCGCAAGCCUGAUGGAGCAACACCGCGUGAGUGAAGAAGGGUUUCGGCUCGUAAAGCUCUGUUGUUAAAGAAGAACACGUAUGAGAGUAACUGUUCAUACGUUGACGGUAUUUAACCAGAAAGUCACGGCUAACUACGUGCCAGCAGCCGCGGUAAUACGUAGGUGGCAAGCGUUAUCCGGAUUUAUUGGGCGUAAAGAGAGUGCAGGCGGUUUUCUAAGUCUGAUGUGAAAGCCUUCGGCUUAACCGGAGAAGUGCAUCGGAAACUGGAUAACUUGAGUGCAGAAGAGGGUAGUGGAACUCCAUGUGUAGCGGUGGAAUGCGUAGAUAUAUGGAAGAACACCAGUGGCGAAGGCGGCUACCUGGUCUGCAACUGACGCUGAGACUCGAAAGCAUGGGUAGCGAACAGGAUUAGAUACCCUGGUAGUCCAUGCCGUAAACGAUGAGUGCUAGGUGUUGGAGGGUUUCCGCCCUUCAGUGCCGGAGCUAACGCAUUAAGCACUCCGCCUGGGGAGUACGACCGCAAGGUUGAAACUCAAAGGAAUUGACGGGGGCCCGCACAAGCGGUGGAGCAUGUGGUUUAAUUCGAAGCUACGCGAAGAACCUUACCAGGUCUUGACAUCUUGCGCCAACCCUAGAGAUAGGGCGUUUCCUUCGGGAACGCAAUGACAGGUGGUGCAUGGUCGUCGUCAGCUCGUGUCGUGAGAUGUUGGGUUAAGUCCCGCAACGAGCGCAACCCUUGUUACUAGUUGCCAGCAUUAAGUUGGGCACUCUAGUGAGACUGCCGGUGACAAACCGGAGGAAGGUGGGGACGACGUCAGAUCAUCAUGCCCCUUAUGACCUGGGCUACACACGUGCUACAAUGGACGGUACAACGAGUCGCGAACUCGCGAGGGCAAGCAAAUCUCUUAAAACCGUUCUCAGUUCGGACUGCAGGCUGCAACUCGCCUGCACGAAGUCGGAAUCGCUAGUAAUCGCGGAUCAGCAUGCCGCGGUGAAUACGUUCCCGGGCCUUGUACACACCGCCCGUCACACCAUGAGAGUUUGUAACACCCAAAGUCGGUGGGGUAACCUUUUAGGAGCCAGCCGCCU
rnacentral:rRNA from 1 species